rnacentral:rRNA from 1 species
GAUGAACGCUGGCGGCGUGCUUAACACAUGCAAGUCGAACGAUGAAGCCCAGCUUGCUGGGUGGAUUAGUGGCGAACGGGUGAGUAACACGUGAGUAACCUGCCCUUAACUCUGGGAUAAGCCUGGGAAACUGGGUCUAAUACCGGAUAGGAGCGUCCACCGCAUGGUGGGUGUUGGAAAGAUUUAUCGGUUUUGGAUGGACUCGCGGCCUAUCAGCUUGUUGGUGAGGUAAUGGCUCACCAAGGCGACGACGGGUAGCCGGCCUGAGAGGGUGACCGGGCACAAUGGGACUGGGACACGGCCCAGACUCCUACGGGAGGCAGCAGUGGGGAAUAUUGCACAAUGGGCGAAAGCCUGAUGCAGCGACGCCGCGUGAGGGAUGACGGCCUUCGGGUUGUAAACCUCUUUCAGUAGGGAAGAAGCGAAAGUGACGGUACCUGCAGAAGAAGCACCGGCUAACUACGUG